GAAUUACAUGCCCUUCAGUGGGGAAUAGCCCAGGGAAACUUGGAUUAAUACCCCAUGGUAUCGCAAGAUUAAAGGUGGCCGCAAGGCUGUCGCUGAAGGAUUGGUUCGCGCCCUAUCAGCUUGUUGGUGAGGUAACGGCUCACCAAGGCUACGACGGGUACCUGGUCUGAGAGGACGAUCAGGCACACUGGAACUGAGACACGGUCCAGACACCUACGGGUGGCAGCAGUCGAGAAUAAUUCACAAUGGGGGCAACCCUGAUGGUGCAACGCCGCGUGGAGGAUGACGGUCUUCGGAUUGUAAACUCCUGUCAUCCGGGAGUAAGACCUGGCUGUGAAUAGCAGACAGGGUUGAUAGUACCGGAAGAGGAAGGGACGGCUAACUUCGUGCCAGCAGCCGCGGUAAUACGAAGGUCCCGAGCGUUGUUCGGAAUCACUGGGCGUAAAGGGAGCGUAGGCGGCGCGGUAAGUCAGAUGUGAAAUCCCGGGGCUCAACCCCGGAACUGCAUCCGAUACUGCCGUGCUAGAGGAUUGGAGAGGUAGCUGGAAUUCUUGGU
rnacentral:rRNA from 1 species